AAACUAACAAGGAUUCCCUUAGUAACGGCGAGUGAACCGGGAAGAGCUCAAAUUUGAAAUCUGGCGUCCUCCGGGCGUCCGAGUUGUAAUCUAUAGAAGCGUUUUCCGCGCCGGACCGUGUAUAAGUCUCCUGGAACGGAGUAUCAAAGAGGGUGACAAUCCCGUGCUUUACACGACGACCGGUGCUAUGUGAUACGUUCUCUACGAGUCGAGUUGUUUGGGAAUGCAGCUCAAAACGGGUGGUAAACUCCAUCUAAAGCUAAAUAUUGGUGGGAGACCGAUAGCGAACAAGUACCGUGAGGGAAAGAUGAAAAGCACUUUGGAAAGAGAGUUAAACAGUAUGUGAAAUUGUUGAAAGGGAAACGAUUGAAGUCAGUCGUGUCCAUUGGGUUCAGCCGGUCCUGCCGGUCUACUCCCUUUGGACGGGUCAACAUCAGUUCUGACCGGCGGAUAAUGGCACGAGGAACGUGGCACCCUCCGGGGUGUGUUAUAGCCUCGCGUCGCAUACGCUGGUCGGGACUGAGGAACGCAGCUCGCCUUCAUGGCCGGGGUACGCCCACGUACGAGCUUAGGAUGUGAC
rnacentral:rRNA from 1 species